AUUUGCCAUUUGGCUUAUCCCUCCUGGAACAUCAACCCUGUUACAUAUCUUAGUAUCAUCAGCAAAAAGACAUACCUUACCAUCAAGACCUUCUGCAAUAUCACUAAUAAAAAUAUUAAAGAGAAUGGGUCCAAGUACAGAUCCCUGAGGUACCCCACUGGUGACAAGUCCAAGCUUCGAAUAUAUUCCAUUAACUACAACCCUCUGUUGCCUGUCACUAAGCCACU